UCGGUCCGCACGGUCUGGCUGUCCUGUUCCUGUCUUGCACCGCGGUCUCUCUUCCUCUCCUCCCCCUGACUGAGAUUUUAUUUAUUUAUUCAUGAUAGUCACACAGAGAGAGACAAAGAAGCAGAGACACAGGCAGAGGGAGAAGCAGGCUCCAUGCAGGGAGCCCGACGUGGGAUUCGAUUCCGGGUCUCCAGGAUCGCGCCCGGGCCAAAGGCAGGCGCCAAACCGCUGCGCCACCCAGGGAUCCCGGAAGCAACUUCUUAACAACCAGGCAUGACCAGGCCAGUGUGACCCCCUCCUUCCUUCUCUCCCACUGCUCAGGUGGCUCCCUAGCAACAGAAUUUAGAACUUUGAAAGCUGGGUGGGCAGGUGGGCGGGGCCCCGCUGGUUGCUGGGGUGAUGGCCUUCAGGGUCUGUCCCCACAGAGGCCCCUGGGGUCUGGGGGAGGCAACAUGGUGGCCUCUGGGAUCCCAGCUUUGAGCCUUUUCCUGCUGAUGCAGGGCUCAGUAGGUAAGGGGGCUGAAGUGAGGGUCCAAGAGCUGGGCAGGGAGCCUCCUCAGCCUCCAUACAGCCUCCUCUAACACCAAUCCUUUUUCUUCACAGAUGGGAAUGGAAUCCAGGGAUUCUUCUAUCCAUGGAGUGAGCAAUGAAUUAAACCUUGGUCCCCCAAGGACAGGGAGCCCAGACUAGACUCUUGGGUCUAAGGGGAAUAGGGCCUGGAGGCCAGAACUCCUGGGUCUGAGGGAAAAGGAGGCUAGGGGCCUGGACCCCUGGAUCUGAGGAAGGAGGGGCCUGGGGGACUGGAUUCCUGGGUCUGAGGGAGGAGGGGCUGGGAGCCUGGACUCUGGGGCCUGAGGGAGGAAGCUCUGGGGGCCUGGACUCCUGGGUCCUGCACAGAUUAGUAGGACCAGGCAGGCAGGCCUGGAGUCUGACUUUGGGACCCUGGCAUUCUGAGGCCUUCGGGACAGACUCUGUGACAUAGCUGCCACUUGUGGUUCGUCCCAAGGCUGUGAGGGAGAUGUGUGGGACCGGGAGAGCUGUGGGGGCCAGGCCGCAAUCGAGAAUCCCAAUCUCUGUCUGCGUCUACGCUGCUGCUACCGUGAUGGGGUCUGCUACCACCAGCGGCCAGAUGGUGAGUGCCUGGAGGUGGGGUCCCCGGGGCAGGACUGGCCGCUGAGACUCCCAGGUCUCAAACCUGCCUCUUUUGUUCAGAAACUAUGCGGAGGAAGCAUAUGUGGGCACUGGGCUGGACAUGUGGAGGCCUCCUCUUCCUAAUCUCCAGCAUCUGCUUGUUCUGGCAAGUGGCGUUGGGGCUUGGGGUGGGCACCUGUACCCCAGGGGAGCAGUCAGCCUGGUUAGGACUGAGUGUGUACCCUCCUCCCAGGUGGGCCAAGCGCCGGGACAUGCUGCACCUUCCAGGGUUCUUAAAGGGCAAAUGUGACCUGUCGAGGACCGUCUCUCUGUUA